UGGGGAAUAUUGCACAAUGGGCGCAAGCCUGAUGCAGCGACGCCGCGUGGGGGAUGAAGGCCUUGGGUUGUAAACUCCUUUCAACCAUGACGAAGCAUUAUGUGACGGUAGUGGUAGGAGAAGCACCGGCUAACUACGUGCCAA
rnacentral:rRNA from 1 species